rnacentral:lncRNA from 1 species
CUAAGUUCUUAAAGUACAGGUCUGUACAGGCAGGCUUGAAUAUCUAUAUUCUAACAGGAGCUUGUGGUUCGAAGUGGCCCCCUCAAGGAUUGAACUCACAACCCUGGGUUUAGCAGGCCAGUGCUCAAACCACUGAGCUAUCCCUCCCCCCCAUCUGCAUAUAGCUGUGGGUGCCGGAGGCCUUUCACGUUUUGCGGAAGUAUUUGGACCCAGCCACAUCCUGUGAUCUCCAUUCAUUGUUCUCCCCGCCUCAGAUACACCCUCAAAUGAACGGCUUCCUCCUCCGGGCUGAGCCAGUCUGUGAGAGCUGCAGGAAUAGCGUUGGGGACCUCGGACAGGGGUCGACUCGGAGACGCUGCCUCCCCCAAGAGACUGUACAACAUCUUCGCUGCCUCUACCGUGC